UUUUGGAACAAUAAGCUAAAUUGAGUAUCGACUCGGUAUUUGAACUCUGCAUUCUUAGGUCAUGCUACAUCAAUUGAUUUGUUGACACCGUUCAGUAGUGCUCUCUCGAGUUAAAACAGAUUAACAUAUUACAAGUGUCAAUGGAUAGACCAAAUGUAAACAAAAAAAUUUUGCGUGAACUCAAAAGUGCAGAUGUUAAUUUGAAAGAUGUUGGAAGUUGUGGCUUGCACACACUUCAUUGUGCCUUUAAAGCUGCUGUAAAUGUGACCGAAUGGAAGAUUAUUGAAUUUUUGAGAGCUCUUUAUUAUUUGUUUAAGAAUGUCCCAGCACGUAGAGCUGAUUACAUUCCUUUCACUGAUUCUUUGGUAUACCCAAGAAAUUCUGUUCGGUUCGGUGGCUUAAAAAUGUCCAGGUUGCAGAGAGAGCAGCAGAAAUCCUCCCCAACGUGCAGAAGUAUGUGACAGAAGCCACAAAGUUAAAGAAAGUACCAAGUUGCCAAAGCUUUCAGAUAGCCCAGUCAAAUUAGUUUUUUUUCCUGCAUUAAAUCGUGUAGUUCCAAAAGUUUCAGCAAUGUAUAGAGGGUGAUCACGUGAACAACACCUAAUAAAGUCCCACCGAUUUCCAGUGCCGCCAGGUGGGGGGGGGGGGGGGGGGGUUUAUAGGUCCUUUUUUUUUCAGUUUUUUGCGGAUAUCUCAAACGGUGAGUGGCACAGAAAAUAUUAUAGUUAUCCAACUUAAAGUUUUUUUAAUUAACUGCAUAUUGGUAUAUCAUGUUUAUCUCUAUGUGUUACCGUCUCAAAGCAAUGAGCAGGCAAAAAUGAAAAAUAUUUGAAAAUUUUGUAGCGCCUCACGUUUUUCGUCAAAGUUUCCCACACAGUUAUUUUCCAUUCGAUGUUACAGGAAAUUCGUUUGUUAAUAAGUUGUAGAACAUUCCCUUCAAUAAUAUGUAGCAUUUACUAAAUUAUCUACAAGCAGUGAAAAGUUGAGCAUUUUGAAGUUGAGGGGUAGAUUUCGAGAUUCAGCUACUUAACUGUUCAUUUUUUAAUUUCCGUUUUCUAGGGCUUUAACUCUCCGGAACAUGUUAUUUAUUGUUCAUGUGAACAAAAAUAGUUUUUUUAUUUCCAAAACAAGUAAAAAAAAUAUAUAUGAAUAAAUGUAUAAAUUAUAUAAUAUGAAUAUAUGAUAUAGUAUUACAUAUUUUUAUGAUAUAUUCAUAUAUAAAUGUAAACAUAUUUUAUUUAUAUAAAAUGUAAUUUUUCCCACCAUAGUUGCAAAAUGGUAAUUAGUUAAGUAUCAAACACUAUUCAUAGCACAUUUUGUCCAUAUUUGCAUGUACAUAUUGCACAUAUUUAUCGUGGGUUCCAACUCGUGUCCCUAAUCAUCGCUAUACACUGUAAAAGCAUGUCGUAACCUAUAUACCAAGGCACCAUAAUUUUAGUAUAAAAAAGUAACCACUGGUGGAGAUAAAAAUAUGUAAUAAUUUGUAUUUUCUUGGCUUCUUGGUGUAGGCCGUGUCAGGAGAUUGUCUUGCGAUAUUUCGGCAGUCAUUGCCGAAACGUCGCAAGACAAUCUCCUCACAUGGUCUACACCCAGAAGCCAAGCAUAUGCAGAUAACGGCGAAAGUCUGCGAUCUUUAUUAAGUAAUACCCUAAAUACUUUAAGUAGUUAAACAUGCAAAAGUAAAAAUAUAGGUUUACACAACUUAAUUCCCGAUCACCCUUCCAUCCUAUCAAACGUUUCCAGCUGUUCCUACUCCUCUUGAAUGGGAGGACAGUUAGUGCAAGCACCGUGGCAAUUACCACAUACAGGUGAGCUGUGUAUACCGGCUUUCCAACCUGUGGUGCAAUAGGGGCCUUGGUCUUAAUAGGAGUAAGAUAUCCCCUAUCUUCUCUUGUCCAACCCCAACAUUCAGGGUCGAGGGAUUCAUUUCCAAACCACUGUUGGACCGGUAGGAACACUCUGCACGAGUGAUGUAGAGCAGCAUCUUUUGUAGGCAGCAAUGAAGACAAGUUUGCUUUCAUCUUGGCUGACGAUUUGACGAAGCACAUGUACCCGUGAAUAUAACAAAAUAUAACUACAUUUUUUCAUCAAACAGCAUGCUUCAACUAAGUUAUUACAUGCAACACAAAAAUGAAAUGUACCCUAUGAUGAUUGAGGUCAUGCUCAUGGGGUGGGGCCUGAUACAACAGUAGGAACAUUGUUCCCCAGCUUCAGCAAUGUCUCCUGGAGUGGAUGUGGAGUAGUAAAGCACAUCAGCGAUGUUUUUUGUUUCGUUGGGAUACCGCUGAAAACAUUUGACUAUGGCUGCUUUACUUUUCCCAUAAAUUGCAAAGUGGUAUCACAUCCAGUGAAGCCAUGGAUAAAGAGAAUGUACUGGCUGAAUGGCAAGGCCUGAAGUUGUUGGGAGUAGUACAGCCUGUCUUCUGUGUUACCUCGUCCAGGCUUCAUGAAAAACGCAUUCAUGUCUGGUGGUGUGAGUGCCACGAGUAAGACAAGCAGGCCUACGUCCUCGCCAACUACUACCACAGUUGAAUGAGAGUUAUUUUCUAAUCCACACCUGACAAUGCUGCAGUCGGCAUCUCCUUUGGCUAUGGUGAACUGUAUGCCUUUUGCACCCAAAGCCUGUGCUAACAUACUAAUCAGCUUUGUUUUAUUCCUUUCGUUGGAAAGAAAGUUUUCCUGCUGAACAGUAGCCACCAUGCUCUCAUCAAAGUCUAUGUCCACUAAUGUUUUACAUGAUGCUCUCCUAUACUGUUCAGCUCUUUUCGUGGAAUUGGUGUCUUUUUAACCUUCGAAAACCACAGCAUAGUUGCAGCCGUAAUGAUUGAUGUAAGACACAUAUUGAUCGCAGAUGGAUGCGAACUUGGUGUUGUUGUUCCACUUAACUCUAUGAAGGAGGAAGCCACCAUCGAUACUGUGAAAGUGUUUUUAAUGUGUACUCUUUGAUUGCAUGAAGGUAAGGUAUCGUAGAGAGCUGACGUUUUCGUUUUUCUCAUGAUCCCUUCAUCAAAAAGAGUCAUAGGGUAUGGGGCUCACACUUCAACAGCUCUUCUACAUCCCCUUCAUUUUUCUUUGAAACUAUGGUUCUUCGGAAAAUCAUUAAAGGCUCGACCACCAUUACUUCGUUGUCCAGUUUGACAGUGUUGUUCAUAGCAGCCAAAUGGACUACUACAUUGCUUAAUUUCUGCAAAGUUCAUUCCAAAAAAAAGUUUUCAUUGUACGGGUUCCAAUUUCCAAUGCUUGGUAACAGUUGAUGUUGAUGGUUAUAUUACUCCAGUUGAAAGGGACAUCAAAUAAUCACGUUCAGCAAAGCAGGGUGAUCAGCCAACCACUGUGCAAGCUUCCUUCUGUCUUGGUCAUCUCUGCUUAUUCGUGAUGCUCGAAAGUCAACAUGCUGUUCUCCAUUCAUAGAAUGGAUUCCGGCAAACUGCUCUAGUGAAGAACAUAUGGCUGUAGCUGUGCAUGCUCCUCCAACCCAUUUCGCCAACACAGAAUCACUAAUGCCUCUCCCUCGUGUUAGUCCCCCUUCACUUUUCAUGUCACGCAUCAGUGUCACUUCAAUUGCCAAAUCAGACCACACUCCAGCCAUUGGUGUAUCAGUUCUGUUUACAGUGAAAUAUCCACGAUCUAUGAAAUCCUCUUUAACUUCAGGGUAGCGAGUUGUUAGUCCAAUCAUGUCCUGAACAUAGAGAUGUGUACAUUUCGCAUAAUGAAAAUGCCCACUGGUAUGGAAGAAUGGAAUCAUCUGUUGGGCGCAUGUCAAGUGGCCUUCCCAAUUACCAGUCCGCUGUGCUGCAAUGAACUUUUUCAACACCACCACCAUUUCAAAGAACUGCACCCAUAAAGCUGAUGUUGGCCCAGCAUCUUUCAAAUGUAACAGCUCAUUGCUCAAUUUCUGUUGAACGCUGGCAAGGGAGGCAUUUAUUUUGAUUUUUACUGAAGUUAUUUCUUCCGAGGUUUUAAAUAAGGUCAAUAGUUCUUGCUUGUCAUAUGAUGUAAUACAUGAACCUUCUAAAAUGAUGAGACAAAGCUGUCUGCACCAGUAAAUGUCCUCUCACAGCUUUGCUGUAAGUCUUUCCACUCAAAAUUUUGUCAACCAAGUUAGGAGCGAAAACACAGCACAACAGUCCCUUCAGCCCACUCCCCGCCAUUGUUUGACCAAUGCACCCCAAAAAGGACAUAAGCAUAUGAAACCCACAAAGUAUCAUUUCCACCUUGCCGAGCAAUGGAUCAUCAUAGCUUGAAGCAACGAUUUCCCAUGCUCACGAGAGUUAAAGCCCUUGAAAACGGAAAUUAAAAAAUGAACAGUUAAGUAGCGGAAUCUCGAAAUCUACCUCUAAACUUCAAAACGCUCUAACUUUUCACUGCUUGUAGAUAAUUUAGUUAAUGCUACAUAUUAUUGAAGGGAAUUUAAUGUUCUACAACUUAUUUUCAAACGAAUUUCCUGUAACAUUGAAUGGAAAAUAACUGUGUGGGAAACUUUGACGAAAAACGUGAGGCACUACAAAAUUUUUCAGAAUAUUUUUCAUUUUCGCCUGCUCAUUGCUCCGAGACAGUAAUACAUAGAGAUAAACAUGAUAUACCAAUAUAUAUGUAAUUUAAUAAGCUUUAAGUUGGAUAACUAUAAUAUUUUCUGUGCGACUCACCGUUUUCGAGAUAUCUGCAAAAAACUGGAAAAAAAAGACCUUUAACCUUCCCCUCCCCCCCUGGCGGCCCCGGAAAUCGGUGGGACUUUAUUAGGUGUUGUUCACGUGACCUCCCUCUACACAUUGCUGAAACUUUUGGAACUACAUGAUUUAAUGCAGCAAAACCAACAUUUUUAGUCCUAUUUGACUGGGCUAAGACUGUUGCAUCAUCUGUUAAAGAUAAAAUGUUGACAGCUAAACUUGCUUUCUUUGUUUCUUUAGCAAGUGAAAUUGAACCUUUCCUUCGCAAGUUUCAGGAUGAUGUGCCUCUAGCACCACUGCUUUAUGGUUCUUUAAAUAGUGUUUUGCAUUCUUUAAUGUCAAGAUUUUUAAAAGCAGAUGUUAUUGCUGCAAAGUCAGUGUUGUGUGACAUUGAUGUUCAGACAAGAAUGACUUGCAACCUGUAAAGAAUUUGGAUAUUGGGUAUGCUACAAGAAAAGCUCUUCGCGAAUAAAAUGAUGUGGUUGAGAAAGACAUCCUAUUGUUUAAACGAUAUUGUCAAAUUUGUUUGCAAAAGAUCUGCAGUAAGUUAUUGGUUCGUUCACCUCUGAAGUUCAAGUUGACCAAAGCCAUAUCAUUUUUAGAUCCAGCAGUUUCUGUUCUACAGGCAGUGCGUGAUGAACGAAUGAGGUGUUUCUUGGAGAUAUUAGUAGCAAACAACUGGAUCUCUGGCAUGACCGCAGAUCGCAUAGAUCGUCAGUUCAAGAGUAUUUUCAGUCUUCCCAAUUCCAGGGAAUAAAUGUUGGCAUUUUGUGUGAAAGAUCAUAGGUUAGACAGAUUGUGGCUUGAAAUGAUUCCUGAGACUGGUGAUUACCAAGAUUUGACUUCCGUCUUAAAAAUUGUAUUUAUUUUGUCUCAUGGAAACAGUAGCUUGGAGAGAGGAUUUUCGGUAAAUCGAGAAUGUAUAAUUGAAAAUCAGAAGGAAAUGUCUCUUGUAGCACAAAGACAGGUAUAUGAUGUUGUGCUAGCUGAAGGUGGAAUUGAAAAGCUACACAGAUAACCAAGAAGUUACUUCGUUUUACCAGAAAUGCAAGAACCCGUUAUUCUGAAGAAGUGGAAAAGCAGUCCAGAGAAGCAGAUGAGGAAGAGAGAAUUAAAGUGGGAAAAAAACGAGCUGCAUCCAUUGAUAAACAGUUGGAGUUUAAGAAACAGAAGUUGUUGGAGGAAGCACGAAAGCAAGCUUCUUUGAUCGAAGAAGAAAUCAAAGCCCUAACAAACCUGUACAUCAGUGAGGAUGUGUCCAUGGGUGCGUGGCUCGGCAGCGUAGAGGGAGUUCAGCGAGUCCACGACCCGCGCUUCGACACAGA